rnacentral:lncRNA from 1 species
GAGAAUAAUGCCUUAACAUUGUGGAACAUGAUAUUUUGCAUGAGAUAUGAUUUAGAAGAAUAUAAGAUAGAAAUUUUGUGUUAUCAAAUAACAAACAGUUGGCUCGACUCAAUCGUAAUGAUAUUGUUAAUUUUUUAUUGAUUUAUUUUUGUAGAUAUUCCUAUUUUUGAGACCUCUGGCCUUCUGCUGUACUUAUACAAAUCUCGCUUGCCAGUUGCUACUCACUUCAGGAGUUGAAACUUAGCUGUUAAGUAACUGAAUGUGUGUGCAUAGAUGUAGGCUUAGCCUAGGUCCUAAAAAAACAAAUGGGUCAAGCAAUAUUUUGGUGAUCAAAAUGU